rnacentral:rRNA from 1 species
UGGGGAAUUUUGGACAAUGGGCGAAAGCCUGAUCCAGCAAUGCCGCGUGUGUGAAGAAGGCCUUCGGGUUGUAAAGCACUUUUGUCCGGAAAGAAAUCCUUGGCUCUAAUACAGUCGGGGGAUGACGGUACCGGAAGAAUAAGCACCGGCUAACUACGUGCCAGCAGCCGCGGUAAUACGUAGGGUGCAAGCGUUAAUCGGAAUUACUGGGCGUAAAGCGUGCGCAGGCGGUUUGCUAAGACCGACGUGAAAUCCCCGGGCUCAACCUGGGAACUGCAUUGGUGACUGGCAGGCUAGAGUAUGGCAGAGGGGGGUAGAAUUCCACGUGUAGCAGUGAAANGCGGUAGAGAUGUGGAGGAAUACCGAUGGCGAAGGCAGCCCCCUGGGCCAAUACUGACGCUCAUGCACG